GAAAUGCGAUAAGUAAUGUGAAUUGCAGAAUUCAGUGAAUCAUCGAAUCUUUGAACGCACAUUGCGCUCCUUGGUAUUCCGAAGAGCACGCCUGUUUGAGUAUCGAAAAAACCAUCACGGUUCGGUUUUUGGAGUUCGCUCCAUACGACUUUGAGCCGUGGAUUUGGACCGACUUGGUGUUCGCAUCAAGCAGUCUCAAAAAUGAGCGUUGGAAGCUGGAUCUCCUCUUCUGGGAUCGCUGCCCGAAAAUGUAUGAAUUGAGCUCCCCCUCGGGGGAUUCUUCAUUAUUCUUUCUUGCAGUUCUGAGCCUGGUGGAGAACCGGUCGACCGAUUACACUACUUACACACGAGGGGUCGAGAGCGGUUGUCUCACGAUUCGUCGAAUACUUGGUCUCAAAUC
rnacentral:misc_RNA from 1 species